rnacentral:rRNA from 1 species
AUUGAACGCUGGCGGCAGGCCUAACACAUGCAAGUCGAACGAGUGGCGGACGGGUGAGUAAUGUCUGGGAAACUGCCUGAUAGAGGGGGAUAACUACUGGAAACGGUAGCUAAUACCGCAUACUAUCGGAUGAACCCAUAUGGGAUUAGCUAGUCGGUGGGGUAAAGGCUCACCUAGGCGACGAUCCCUAGCUGGUCUGAGAGGAUGACCAGCCACACUGGGACUGAGACACGGCCCAGACUCCUACGGGGGGCAGCAGUGGGGAAGAUUGCACAAUGGGCGCAAGCCUGAUGCAGCCAUGCCGCGUGUAGGAAGAAGGCCUUAGGGUUGUAAAGUACUUUCAGCGGGGAGGCGUUACCCGCAGAAGAAGCACCGGCUAACUCCGUGCCAGCAGCCGCGGUAAUUC